AACGAACGCUGGCGGCAGGCCUAACACAUGCAAGUCGAGCGCCCGCAAGGGAGCGGCGGACGGGUGAGUAACGCGUGGGAACGUGCCCUUUGCUACGGAAUAGCCUCGGGAAACUGAGAGUAAUACCGUAUGUGCCCUUCGGGGGAAAGAUUUAUCGGCAAAGGAUCGGCCCGCGUUGGAUUAGGUAGUUGGUGGGGUAAUGGCCUACCAAGCCGACGAUCCAUAGCUGGUUUGAGAGGAUGAUCAGCCACACUGGGACUGAGACACGGCCCAGACUCCUACGGGAGGCAGCAGUGGGGAAUCUUAGACAAUGGGCGCAAGCCUGAUCUAGCCAUGCCGCGUGAGCGAUGAAGGCCUUAGGGUUGUAAAGCUCUUUCGUGGGGGAAGAUAAUGACGGUACCCCAAGAAGAAGCCCCGGCUAACUCCGUGCCAGCCGCCGCAGUAAGAC
rnacentral:rRNA from 1 species